rnacentral:lncRNA from 1 species
UCUAGAUCUUUAUAACAAUCAAGAAGAAGUGUUUGGUCAAUUCAUUACAUCCUUGUUUGAGCAUAUAGUAUGUUUGUGUCAAAUGUACCAACAAUUUUAGGCCCUGUUUGAUAGCACCUUAUUUUUCAUGAAAAAUGGAAUUCAAAUUUCAACUUCCACUUUUUGACUGUUUGGUAGCAUUUUUUUUUCCAGCAAAUUGGUUUUCCCACUUUUCUUGCCACCUAGACAUUUUUCCCCUUUUCCUUGAAAAUCAAUUCCCACCAAUAUGGUGGGAAUUGAUUUUCUAGGCUACUGUUGCCCCUUUUUUAUUUUAUUUUUUUGGCAAUGGAAACAAAUUAUAUCCUUAAUUGUAAAAAAAUAUUUUCCUUUAAUUGACAAUUUUCAUGUAAAACAAAGUCAAGUGAAUACCAAAAGAUGGAUAAUUUUCUUGGCUUUUUUUGGUAAUGAAAACAAAUUUUAUUCCCAUACCAGUAAAUUUUAUCCCUUUAAUUGACAAUUUUCAUAUAAAACAAAAUCAAACGAAUACUAAAAAAUACUUUUAUUUCAACAUUUUCCACGUGAAAAAUUAUACCAAUCAAAUACAAUAAUUGACAAUUCUCAGUAAAAUAAUUUCCAGACAAUUCCAUUGCCUGAAACUCGUUUUCUUUCCACCCAAAUUUUAUCUUUACAAUCAAAUGGACCCCAUUGCACAAGGGAUUGACAUUGAAAAUUUGUUUUUGGGAUUUCACUAAAGCCACAAUUGAACAUGGAUAGAUGACAAAAAUGUAAAGGAUGUGUGGUAUUGAUGCUGUAGCAUAGGGAUGGCUAGAAUUGAAGCUUGCUUUGCAAUGGAGCAAAUCACAUUUCAAGGAGUGCAUUAAAAGUGACAUACUCCUUAAUAACUUGUGUGAAUCAUUCAAAAGCACUAUCAUGAUUCAUGAGUACACGGGAGAAGUCUAUCUCACUAUGCUUGAAGAGAAAAGAAUAUAUAUUACGCCCCCGUUUGAUUCCCAUUCUUUGGCUACAAAAAUGAAAAAUAUGAUCGUUAUCCAUCACAUCAAGCCACCAUGCCACCAUAUUUGAUUUUAUAUUCCUUGUAUGGGUCCUGUGAUGACUAUAUUUUUCAUUCUCAUUCUUAGAAAAAUGAGAAUCAAGCGGGACUAUAUAUUUGAUGGAGAGAAUUGUAGCUCGGAAAGAAGCUUGCAAUAAAUGAAGUUCAGAAGUUGGACCCAGAAUAGUGAAGAUUUUACAAAAGAAUAGUACACUUGAAAUGGCAGAGUAUACUGAUUACUCAUGAACGAGGAAUUCCAAAUUAGGCAAAGUGCGAGCCAAACUCUACAUGCUAUUGAUAUCAAUCUGAAGAGAUGUUCAUGUCAUGCUUGGCAGUUGAUUGGGGUCCCUUGUUGCCAUGCCAUUUCUUCACUUCUCUCCCAGGACAUUCAUUCUAUAACAGACUAUAUUGAUGACAUCUACGAAAAGAGGCAUAUCUUCGGACAUACACACCCUUCAUUUUCCCCGUUAUAGGUCCAAAUUCAUUGCCUAAUUAGCCAGGUCUAAAUCCAAUAACUCCACUUUCCUACAUGAAAAGGUUAGGAAGACCAAGUGUAUAUAAGUUGUGUCCACAUCCGGAUUUAUCUCGGUGGCGAACUAGGGGGAAGUCCUCCACUCCUCAGAGUUAGUCAGGCGAAGUUUGGACAUUUGAGUUAUCAAAAAAAAAAUAAUAAUAAUAAAUUAGAGAGAGAGAGAGAGAGAUGCUAGAAAUUUAUCAAGAAAUGAUUUAACCAUGAAGGGCUAAUUGUGUGGUGGAGCAUGACACAACAGACGGAAUUGCACUGGAAAACAACCACCUACUGCAAAUGUCCAUGAGGAUCAGAUCACAUUUGGACAGUUUGAUGCCAUAUUUGGUUUAUUUUUCUAGACAUUUUGAUGGAUAGUGCUAUGAUCACGUAUUGGACAAUUUCUUGGACAGUUACUUGGAAAGAUUUUUGGUUCCUAUUUAAUUUUUGGAUAGUUAGCUUGUCGUGUAAUAUGUUUAAUGUCAAC